UUGAAAAUGGCAGUGAAAUGCUUUACAAGCUUUACGGUUUCGAGGGAAGAUGCCACAUUGUGCAAAGUAAUUCAAUGCCUCAACCCGAUGGGGGCGCCGGUGAGGAGCAGCGUUCGAGCCAGUCCAGGAUUGGCCAAUGGUAUGCCACAGUUCCUGGAAACUCGUGUAUGUUCCUCAUGGCGAAAGGGAUUCGGAAGGGCACACCAGGAAUGAAGAGAGCAGUGCGCCUCAACGGAACUUUAGCUUUUUGAGAGGAGUGGCGUUUAUUACCCUUUUUUUUUUUUUUUAAAUCAGGUACUACUUGGGCAGGUAGUCAUUGAUAUAUAUGAAUUAAAUAGUUUCAAACGUGGAGGAUAACCAUACCGAUAUAACUGAUUGUACAAUAGAUGCGAUUAUUACUUCUGACUCGACAGUGAGCGAAUUGUUUAGAUCAGUUCAGUGGAAAGCAUCUGGCUGGCAGAGGAGACCCAACAUAACCGAAUUAAACCGCAGUUGCUGAAAAUGUUCUCUAAGGAUGGAUGCUUGGCUGUGUGUACAGUGAUAUUUAUUCUGUCAUCAAGUGAGGCUAGAGGUCCACCGUGGGUGAGUCGUCAGGUGGAGGAGCGUCAAACGGCCAGGCUGGGGCGGACGGUGCGGCUUGCGUGCCCCGUAGAGGGUGACCCUCCUCCCCUGGUGCUGUGGGUGAAGGAUGGGCGUAACGUCCACCCGGGCUGGAGCCGCUACCGGGUGCUAAAAAAGAGCCUGAAGAUCAAAGAGGUGGAGCUGGGGGACGCAGGGGUUUACAUGUGCCGCGUCACCAACGGCUUCGGAAGUAUCACUCUCAACUACACCCUCAUCGUCAUGGAUGACACAGCAGCGAGCCAGACAGACGCUCCACCUGCCGUAGUGGAACCCAAUGCUGAGCUCACCCAGCUUGACCCUACAGGAGAGCCCUGUGUGAAGCCUCGGUUUAGUCAGCCCACUAAGAUGCGCAGGCGGGUGCUGUACAAGCCGGUGGGCAGCUCAGUGAGGUUCAAGUGCCAGGCCAGCGGCACCCCUCCCCCCGUCAUCACCUGGUGGAAGGACCAGACCCCGCUGCCACCCCCGCGCCAGGGCAAGCGCCCCCAGUGGACCCUCACCCUAAAGAACCUGCAGCCCCAGGACAGUGCCAAGUACACCUGCCAUGUCUCCAACCCAGCCGGGCACAUCAACGCCACCUACAAGCUGGAUGUCAUCGAGCGCUCUCAUUGCAAGCCUGUUCUGACCGGCACCCACCCGGUCAACACCACUGUGGAGUAUGGUGGCACCGCCUCCUUCCAGUGUAAGGUCCACAGUGACGUGAAGCCUGUGGUCCAGUGGCUGAAGAGGGUUGACCCAGGCACAGAGGACCGCUAUAACUCCACCCUGGAAGUCGGAGGGCAGCAUUUUGUGGUUCUGCCCACGGGGGACGUGUGGUCCCGGCCUGACGGCUCCUACCUCAACAAGCUGGCUAUCAUCAAGGCCCGUGAUGGGGAUGCUGGGAUGUACAUUUGCCUGGGAGCUAACACAAUGGGUUACAGCUUCCGCAGUGCUUACCUCACUGUGCUGCCAGACCCUCAGGUGGAGAACACAGUGACUCCUCCACACCUGAGCUCCGGCCUGCCCUGGCCUCUGAUUAUCGGCAUCCCUGCAGCAGCCCUCCUCAUCGUAGGCACCAUUGUACUCUGGCUGUGCCACAGCCGCCGACGCCACAACACCUUGCCACCCCGCGCCAUGACCAUGGUCCACCGAGACCAACACAUCUCGGACAAAGAGCCCAGCACCAACACCCCCUGUAAUGCCCUGAAUAGCCCUGACUACCCCAGCCAUAGACUGGUGGGCCUGGGAGCCCCAGUCCUUAGUGGGCCCCCUAAGAUUUACUCCAACGUUUACACAGACAUGCACUCGCACACACACUCCCACGCCCAUAUGGAUGGUAAGGUCCAUCAACACCAGCAUUUCCACUACCAGUGCUAACCAGCCCCCUCUCAUCCCACCCCACACCUACAGCCUUGUCUCCUAGCCACUGCUGCUAUUCUCACCCAACAAUGGACUAUGAGCAAGGUAGAUGGAAACUAGGAAAGGCUUGUAGUUCAUAUGAACUACACCUCCUAUGAUAAACAGUGCUAAAACCCUUACCUGGGAUACACAUAUUACUAAGCUGCCUGCUUUGUAGGAAUACCGCUUCAUUGAGAAGUCUCAGGGCAAGAAAUACCCUCUCACAUGUGUGCCAGAGUCAUUUCUUUAUUAUGUGUUUUUAUACUAGACAACCAAGAGCAAACUCCAAUUGUAUUUUAAAAGAUGAAAAUUACUUACAAACAAUCUUUGGAUGCAUGUAGCCCUGGAUAAAUAAUUAAUUAGUUAAUGAGAUAUUACCAGGUUUAGGUUCAAUUUAGGUCAACUGAAAUUUGAUUAAAGGUAUUCCAAUUUACACAAAUGAACAUUUCUAAUAGAAUUAACCCCAACUCUGGAAUGUACUAUUUUUUUUUUUUUUAACACUCAUCUAAACAUGUACCGGUAUCCAAACUCCCAAAGCAUUAAGUAAUAUAAGGAACUUUUAAGUUUGUGUAAAUUGGAAAAUGUAACUGUGACAAUUUAAAAUCUAGAAUAAAUGUUUACAAAUGUGAAAGCUUUUCUAUUCUCAUUAUAGCAACACAAACUAUGCUGUUCUCGGUUCUGAUUAGGUGGUAUUAUUCUCAUUAUAGCAACACAAACUAUGCUGUUCUCGGUUCUGAUUAGGUGGUAUUAUUCUCAUUAUAGCAACACAAACUAUGCUGUUCUCGGUUCUGAUUAGGUGGUAUUAUUCUCAUUAUAGCAACACAAACUAUGCUGUUCUCGGUUCUGAUUAGGUGGUAUUAUUUUUGUUUCAUGUAGGGAAGUACAAUUCAUCAGGGAAAUUAGAUGGAUUUUGUGAUGAGGGCUUUUUUAUUUUUGUAUUCAGAUAUUGUAUAUGUAUCCAACUAAAAAAAGCAGUAUUAUUAGUAGUAUUAUUCACCCUAUAUGUGUAAGAUGCCAAAUUAUUUUACAGCGCUAUAGAUGUGUAUUUUACUUACAUUUCUUGUGAGGUAUAUUUUUAUAUAAGGUACAUGAGGAUGAGUAUUGUACCUGUGUCUUGGUUUUUAAAACUCACCAAAAAGCUAUUUAGUUGUUUUGACUUUACUCUUCUAUUUUGGUAACAACCAUUAUUCCAGAUUGGAUUGAGCUAUGGGUCAUUUAGUGAAAAAUGUUGAUUGUAUUGUUAAGUUGAAUUUACAACUUUAUGCUGACCUAGUUGUCUCAUAUUUGAUUAAGAAUCUGACCAUAUGAUGUAUACUGUAUAUAAGAUAAUGAUUACAAAGAAAAUGUAACAGUCAUUCCCCCUCAUGAUGUCAUUAGGUCUAGUCCCCAAGUGGUUUAGAAUUGCCAUGUUAAUCUUAUGCAAUUCCUCUGUGAAACAUUGCAUGCUGCAACUCACCUCUGGUGCUCAUGUACAUUUAGUACUGUACAAUAAUAUUUUUGUAAUAAAAUGUUUGUUUUUUUUAUAACUGUUCUGUUUCGUGUAAUGUUUGCGAAAUGCAUUUCAAUUAAAACAUUUUAUUUUUUUACUUGUGAAAUGUUUCUCUCUCUCAGAAAACAAAAUGCUCACAAAACAUUAUUUUAAGAGGAUUAUCAGAGUAACAAAUUGUAUCAAAAUAUCUAUUUACCAUGAAAACGUCAGGGAGUUCAGUUGUUUCUUACCAUGUAAAAUACUCAAGUUGUGUUGAGAAUGUGUUUUAUGCCAUCUAGUGGCAUUUUAGCGCCAUAGCUUCAUUCUUAGAAAAGACGUGUUGUUGAACAACAAUUUAUGUGUAAUGAUUUCUCAACAUUUUGUGUCAGUUCCUGCAAUGAAUUUGUUAAAACGCUGAAAACGUCCGUUCUUCUGUAUCUCAGGUCCAAAAUUGUCUGAGUUGGUCAAUCUGGACUGCAUAUCUGACUGGCUGACAUCUAAUAAAUAACUUGUUUGA